rnacentral:lncRNA from 1 species
AAAGACUGUUGUGUGCUUUUGCUGAGUUUAAGAUGGUGUCAAUUGUGCCUUAGGAGAAGAGUUUACACAUUCUGUCCUGAGGAAUGUAAUCAAGUCUUUAUUUCAUGGUUUCUGUUAACACUAAUAGGUACAGGUUCAGAUUCGUUGAUGAGGGUGAAAGGAAAACUAUCGCCAACAGGAAGAAUCCAGAUAGGAAGAGAGAAAAAGAAAGACCAGAGAUGGAUUUUGUUUCCUUUUUAAAACAGCCUCAAUCACCUGAUUCCUCCCUGCCACUUCUCUGCAAAUGAUAGAGUUCACACAUCUAUAAUUCUCUCAUAGGUUCAUGUGGGCUACUCCUCAUAACGCUGCUCAAACACUACUGAGGCAUCAAGAUCUUCAAGAUCCAUAAUCGCAUAACAAUUGUUUUGAGCUGAAGACAGCAGAGGAACAUGAGGAUACCCUGUACUUCUCAAGAGGAUAGGAAAAUCUGAUUUGCAAUGGAUGAGGAAACUGAAGCAAAAGAAUGUUGACUAAUUUUGUCAAGGUCACACAACUGGCUGCUUUGGUGGGCUCUUCUGGGGACAAAAGAAAGCACAACAAAAAAAGGAAAUGAAUGGCAUAGGCAAACCCCUAA